UCCGAAUGGAGCAAUCCACAUAGGGUAACGCCUAUGUAUCAUACAGUGAAUCCAUAGCUGUAUGAGGGGAACCGCCUGAACUGAAACAUCUAAGUAGGGCGAGGAAGAGACAUCAAACGAGAUUCCGUUAGUAGUGGCGAGCGAACGCGGAAGAGGGCAAACCGGAAGGAGAAAUCCUUCCGGGGUAUGG
rnacentral:rRNA from 1 species